rnacentral:rRNA from 1 species
ACGAACGCUGGCGGCAUGCCUAACACAUGCAAGUCGAACGAGACCUUCGGGUCUAGUGGCGCACGGGUGCGUAACGCGUGGGAACCUGCCCUUAGGUUCGGAAUAACUCCCCGAAAGGGGUGCUAAUACCGGAUAAUGUCUUCGGACCAAAGAUUUAUCGCCUUUGGAUGGGCCCCCGUUGGAUUAGCUAGUUGGUAGGGUAAAAGCCUACCAAGGCGACGAUCCAUAGCUGGUCUGAGAGGAUGAUCAGCCACACUGGGACUGAGACACGGCCCAGACUCCUACGGGAGGCAGCAGUGGGGAAUAUUGGACAAUGGGCGAAAGCCUGAUCCAGCAAUGCCGCGUGAGUGAUGAAGGCCUUAGGGUUGUAAAGCUCUUUUACCCGGGAUGAUAAUGACAGUACCGGGAGAAUAAGCUCCGGCUAACUCCGUG